rnacentral:rRNA from 1 species
GAUGAACGCUGGCGGCGUGCCUAAUACAUGCAAGUCGAGCGAACAGACGAGGAGCUUGCUCCUCUGCCGUUGGCGGCGGACGGGUGAGUAACACGUGGAUAACCUACCUAUAAGACUGGGAUAACUUCGGGAAACCGGAGCUAAUACCGGAUAAUAUAUUGAACCGCAUGGUUCAAUAGUGAAAGACGGUUUUGCUGUCACUUAUAGAUGGAUCCGCGCCGCAUUAGCUAGUUGGUAAGGUAACGGCUUACCAAGGCAACGAUGCGUAGCUGAUCUGAGAGGGUGAUCGGCCACACUGGAACUGAGACACGGUCCAGACUCCUACGGGAGGCAGCAGUAGGGAAUCUUCCACAAUGGGCGAAAGCCUGACGGAGCAACGCCGCGUGAGUGAUGAAGGUCUUCGGAUCGUAAAGCUCUGUUAUUAGGGAAGAACAGAUGUAUAAGAAAAUAUGGCCGUCUUGACGGUACCUAAUCAGAAAGCAACGGCUAACUACGUG